rnacentral:sRNA from 1 species
AUGCAGUUACAUAUCGUCGUAGAUAUUGUUUUCUGGUGUCCAACAAGAACAACUACCGAUAUCAAACAUAUCUUAGCAGACAAAGGCACUCACACCAGUAAGUCAACUGUGAGAAAAGUCAUUGAUGCAGCCGGAUUCACAGCUUCUAAACCCAGAUACGAUCAAACGGUUAGAGACGUAAACAAGCAGAAACGGGUCCAAUUUGCCAGAGAGGUCAUUGCAAACGACGAUCAUUUUAACAAUGUCAUUUUUACAGACGAGUGCUCCGUGCAGUUGCAUAACAACAAGAUAGUUAUCUACCGAGAGAAAGACUCUGUAGCACCGGUUUUACCAAAACCUAAACAUCCACUGAAGGUUCAUGUGUGGGCGGGUAUCAGUCGAAGAGGUACAACACGAAUAUUAAUCUUCGAAAAUAUCAUGACUGCAGCGUUUUACAUCAACCCCAUACUGACAUCGGGUCUGAUACCUUUCAUAAACCGUGUAUAUCCUUCUAGUCACUGUCUUCCACAAGACAACGACCCGAAACACACAGCAAAUGCAACUAAAGCAUUCAUGACUGAACAGAAUAUCAACUGGUGGAAUGUUUGGCCUGCGGAAAGUCCAGAUUUCAACCCCAUUGAAAUGGUUUGGUCCAUGUUGAAAUCCAGAUUAACCAAGAAAGAACCGAAAACAAAAGAAGACCUCAUCAACGGCAUUAAUUCUUUCUGGAGAGAAGAUCUAACAAUUCCAAUCUGCAACAACUUCAUUGAUCACAUCUAUAAGGUUCUACCAGUAGCAGUUGUAACAGGUGGAAGAGCUACAGGGGAUUUACCCAAGAAAAUUUUUCCAGAAAGAUCCAGUGGCAAGUCCAUACAGUAUUUCAACAGAAAACUCCAGACACAAGAAUACCAAGAUACGAUUUAA